rnacentral:rRNA from 1 species
CAGCGUCACAAGUAGCAAUCAUGAUUAUUGGGCCUAAAGCGUCCGUAGCCUGUUUGAUAAGUCUUUUGUGAAAUCGUUGCGCUUAACGUAACGGUAUGCAAAAGAUACUGUUAAACUUGAAACUGGAAGGAGUUAGAGGUAUUCCAAGGGGAGCGGUAAAAUGCUAUAAUCCUUGGAAGACCGCCUGUGGCGAAAGCGUCUAACUAGUACAGCUUUGACGGUGAGGGACGAAAGCCAGGGGAGCGAACCGGAUUAGAUACCCGAGUAGUCC